rnacentral:rRNA from 1 species
GAGUUUGAUCGUGGCUCAGAUUGAACGCUGGCGGCAUGCCUUACACAUGCAAGUCGAACGGCAGCAUGAUCUAGCUUGCUAGAUUGAUGGCGAGUGGCGAACGGGUGAGUAAUACAUCGGAACGUGCCCUGUAGUGGGGGAUAACUAGUCGAAAGAUUAGCUAAUACCGCAUACGACCUGAGGGUGAAAGUGGGGGACCGCAAGGCCUCAUGCUAUAGGAGCGGCCGAUGUCUGAUUAGCUAGUUGGUGGGGUAAAGGCCCACCAAGGCGACGAUCAGUAGCUGGUCUGAGAGGACGGUCAGCCACACUGGGACUGAGACACGGCCCAGACUCCUACGGGAGGCAGCAGUGGGGAAUUUUGGACAAUGGGCGAAAGCCUGAUCCAGCAAUGCGCGUGUGUG